GGGCCCGUGGCGCAGCUUGGUUGGCGCGCUCGGCUGAUAGCAAAUUGAAACUGGCAGAAACCGGGAGGUCGAGGGUUCAAAUCCCUCCGGGCCCA
rnacentral:tRNA from 1 species